AAGUUCCAUCUGCCAUGUUUGGUCUUACUCUGAAGAGGGAAGACUGUGACGAGGAUGGGGCACUUGAGCGAAAAAGGCAGAAGCGAGCUUUAACUCCAGAGUCAGCCCUUUUUCCAUAGUAGGUCCAAACAACUGGAGCUUCCUUUGUUCUUCGGCCGUCUUCACAAACAUACACGAGAACAGACAUGACCUGACAAUGGGAUAUUUUAGGUGAGAAUUUAAUUGGAUCAUUUAGAAUAAAGCUGCACCAUGUAACAGAAUUUGUUGCAGCCAGUACAGCAAAAAUGUUAAGCAGACUUGGGUCCAACAAUUCUUCUUAGAUACAAUCUAGUUGGCAAUGAGAGAAGCAUUUCUUUAUGCACAAAGGUCUCUAUAUCCUACACAAUGUGCUACCCUUCUCUAUCUGAAUCGUUGCCGGAGGCAUCAUGUUCUGCAAUAUUUGUUGAAGCAAGUAAAUCUCUUUGUACCAUAGCUAUUGAUCAAUUAAAAAUUAUAACGUCUUAUCAAAGAAAGCUUAGUUUCCAGUUCGCAUAUCUGAAGUGAAAGCACCAUUAGAGAGAGACGAUACAGAA